rnacentral:lncRNA from 1 species
AGAUAUCAGCGGGCUCAUAAUUUUUCUCACAACUUAUCAUAUCUCAGAGCUCGCUCUAACUCUAGCUGUUGACUGACAGGGAGGCGGGGCUUAAGGAAGAGCCAGAGACUAUUGUUGUGCAACAGGAGGAGAGCAGGUACUGUAUUGCCUGGCUUAUGCAGAAAGGGAUCCCACAGGGUAAGCAAAAUGCCAGAAGGUAUCUGCAGCCCAGUAGUUACCUCAGAGAUGGACCAGGAGUGUACUGGGGGCAUCUAGACAAGACUCAAGCUGAACAAGAGAAGAGGAGAGGAGCAGUCUAGAAUGAGGAACCAGGGUUCCAUGAUAUUGUCCCUGAUGAGGUUUGUUAACUCCAGUCCAGUUCACCUCCAGGAGCUCCAGAAUCAACCCAUGAGGAAGAACCUUGUGGACGCAGAAAGGCCUAACUGUGUGGUUCUAGAAAGUGGAUAUGUCAAGGUGCUGUAUGCAGAAGCAGAAGUCUUCAGUGCUCCUUCAUGUGUGUUUCCAAGAAGUGGGGACAUCAGUAUUCCCUUAGGGACUUCUCAGCAACUUCAACGGUCCUGUAAAAGUGUCAUAGGGGAAAGCAAGCAUAUAGAACAUUCUGGCAACUGUAGCAUGUUAAGAAGCCUGGAACAGGUUUUAUAUAAGAGAGAGA